rnacentral:rRNA from 1 species
GAUGAACGCUGGCGGCGUGCCUAAUACAUGCAAGUCGAGCGAACGGACGAGAAGCUUGCUUUUCUGAUGUUAGCGGCGGACGGGUGAGUAACACGUGGAUAACCUACCUAUAAGACUGGGAUAACUUCGGGAAACCGGAGCUAAUACCGGAUAAUAUUUUGAACCGCAUGGUUCAAAAGUGAAAGACGGUCUUGCUGUCACUUAUAGAUGGAUCCGCGCUGCAUUAGCUAGUUGGUAAGGUAACGGCUUACCAAGGCAACGAUGCAUAGCCGACCUGAGAGGGUGAUCGGCCACACUGGAACUGAGACACGGUCCAGACUCCUACGGGAGGCAGCAGUAGGGAAUCUUCCGCAAAGGGCGAAAGCCUGACGGAGCAACGCCGCGUGAGUGAUGAAGGUCUUCGGAUCGUAAAACUCUGUUAUUAGGGAAGAACAUAUGUGUAAGUAACUGUGCACAUCUUGAAGGUACCUAAUCAGAAAGCCACGGCUAACUACGUG